rnacentral:tRNA from 1 species
UGUUACUUUGGCAGUGUAGUGCAAUUGAUUUAGGAUCUUUAAAUGUAAUUUAUACAAGUAAUA